rnacentral:lncRNA from 1 species
CACAGACAGUCCGAGUGCAGAGAGCACACAGUGAGAAGUGACUAAUACAUUGUCUGAAUUAUAACAGUACUGACAAGCAUAUUACACGAACACACAAACUGACUACGGUAUGUGAAACCUGAGCGUCAAUCAUAAAAUAUGGUUCAAAGACUUCAAAGGACACACAAGAGUAUGAAAAUAGAGAUUUAUAACACAAAAGUUAUACAAAAACACAUUUUAAGACAAUGUAUAAAUAAAAUGAAAAAUCGAAUCUUUGGAUUUAGGACAUUAUAUAUGAUCUGUACCCACUGGGCACAAACUGGUUGAAUCAACAUUGUUUCCACGUCAUUUCAAUGAAAUUAGGUUGAACCAACGUGGAAUAGACAUUGAAUUGACGUCUGUGCCCAGCGGGUACUGUCUGUAGCUUAUUCCCGCUGCAUGCAUCAGAGCUCAUUGUGGUACUGACAGGUAGUACUAGGAACCGAUGAGGUCAAUGAGUUGUAGAAGUGAUGUUUUUUUCUCUCACUCGUUCAUGGUUUCUCAUCAGCACCACCCACAUCAACUGACUUUCCCACCAGUUUUUAUCCAGUCAACAAUCACCUUGUCUACACAUUCCAUACUUCGAAGUCCAUUCAGAGAUUUCAGCAGAAGUCCAAUGACCUCAUCCUCUCUCUAAACAACAGUCCAAUCCCAGCCUCUGCCUUCAGGGAAAGCUCCAAUCACGUGCUGUUCUGUUGACAGGCAGGUGCGUUGGUGAGCAGCAGGCGAACCUUCCCUCGUAGGAAGUUGGUGUGGACACGGAACAGCUCGGAUAGGGACGACACCUUCCUGGUCGCUGAGUCACUUCCUGCUGGCACUGGAGAGAGGGACAGGUCCUGUUCAAUGGAUGACAGCAAGAACAAGGGUUAACAUACAAACCAUAAAAAGAAAGCACCACUCAUCUGUUCUGUGGAAGGGGUUCUAUUCCAGGUUUUCUUCCCGCCCCGCUAAUCCAUGCCAAACGGUAUGCAGCCAAAUAGAAGCCACUGCUAUGUCUGGCCUGCUCAAUGCCGUCUCAGUCACUGAACUGCCCUACCCUGAAAAGUUACUGGCUUCUGACAGAGAAGCAAACAAAGCACAGCAGGCAGACGCUGGAAAUGGUGGCUGAGAGCAGAUACAGACGGGAAGCAAUUGCAGCUAUACAUAACAGACAGUCAUAUAACAGAC